rnacentral:rRNA from 1 species
AACGAACGCUGGCGGCGUGUCUUAAGCAUGCAAGUCGUGCGGCAAGGGGUAGCAAUACCCCCUAGAGCGGCGGACUGGUGAGUAACGCGUGGGUGAUCUGCCCUUGGGAUGGGGAUAGCCACUAGAAAUAGUGGGUAAUACCGAAUACGUUCGCGAGACUAAGGUUUUGCGAGGAAAAGCGCUUCGGCGCUGCCCGAGGAUGAGCCCGCGUCCCAUUAGCUAGUUGGUGAGGUAAUGGCCCACCAAGGCGAUGAUGGGUAGCCGGCCUGAGAGGGUGUACGGCCACACUGGGACUGAGAUACGGCCCAGACUCCUACGGGAGGCAGCAGCUAAGAAUAUUCCGCAAUGGACGAAAGUCUGACGGAGCGACGCCGCGUGGAUGACGAAGGCCGAAAGGUUG